CAGUCGCCACGGUAACACGUAGGGGGCAAGCGUUAUCCGGAAUAACUGGGCGUAAAGGGUGCGCAGGUGGUUUAACAAGUUAGUGGUGAAAGGCAUAGGCUCAACCAAUGUAAGCCAUUAAAACUGUUUAACUUGAGUGCAGGAGAGGAAAGUGGAAUUCCUAGUGUAGCGGUGAAAUGCGUAGAUAUUAGGAGGAAUACCAGUGGCGAAGGCGACUUUCUGGACUGCAACUGACACUGAGGCACGAAAGCGUGGGGAGCAAACAGGAUUAGAUACCCCGGUAGUCCCUGUCUCUUAUACA
rnacentral:rRNA from 1 species